ACAAGCCCUAAGUCUGUGUCAGUCUCUCCUUCCUUCUCCUGUUGAGCCAGGAGGAGAGACUGACACAGACUCAGGGCUUGU